UCGAAUAAACACAAUUCCCCUCACGUAUGAGCUUCAUCCGGGCCACUUGGGUUUAAUUAGCGGUUGCUCUAAAGAGUCAUAGGCGGGUCAAUUUGCAAUUUCCUGUGCAGUAAUUGUGCAGCGUUUUGACCGCAAGCGAUUCCGGUCAGCAUCCGGCUGAUUUGAAGAACUGGUGUUCAAUGAUCAAGGAUGAUAUAAACUCACCGAUCACUAAUAUUCAAUCUCGACCUUAUGAAUUUAUAAAACGCUGUAUCCGCGCUAGGUCCCAGAUGAACUAUGAAUCACGAGGAGAGAAGAAUACGAGCAACGCUCAAGCGCACAUCCAGUCUCCAUUCCCGCCGACGACAGUAAUGAUAUGAAAUUCCAACGAGAAGAAAAAAUAAAUAACGAUAUGGGUGAAAUGUCGGUGAACUUGACAUUUUUAUUACGCAGCGGUGGAUUUUGGCCUCUAGAGCAGCAGUUUCAUUUCGUCGCCAAUUAUUUGCACGUCGUAACAUUCGGAUGACGUCUUCAAUAUACCACACUCUCGACGGGGUGUCUUAUCGUUGAAGUGCACAAUGUCUGAAGAAAGCGUCCCCAGUUAACGUUUCCCAGUUAUACGCGAAAGUGGGAACGAAAUUAGUAUGCAUAGGAUGUUACCUACCAAGGCUAUAAAGCAUGAGAAGUUUAUUCGAGUAUGCAGGGGUCAACUUGUAAAACUUCACGCUCAGACAAGCCUGAUAUUAACAGCCAACACCAUGGGAGAACUCCAUCCCGUGUGAUUCGACCUUCGACAGUUCCAGUUCGCAUGGUUCGCAUGCUGGAUCGAAGCACACUACUCGAUGAUCCCAAGUUAAUAAUGUGCUUAUCUUCGUUCCAAGUGGGGUAGUCAUUCCCAUCAAAUAGUUAACAUCAAAGUUAAUCUGUGAGAGAGAUAAAACAUCAUCGCCUAUGGUGAGGCAAACGAGUUCUUUGCUCCGGAUUUCUUAGGGGGCCAUCGACACAGUGCCCCAAUGAAGACACUGAAGAAAAUUGAAUUUCAUCGCAUACAUUAUGCAGCCAACCUGGAGUCAAACAUCAAUUAUAAAUUUGCAUUUAAUGUUAACUCGCUACUGAGUUGCGGUGGAGAUGAGUUUUUUUUGCGUGUGUUGAUGGGACGGCUUAUUCAUUAUUUGAUUGCCCUCACUAUUGAAGACUUAACAACGAUGCGAUGGUGUUCUAGACAAAUUAUAAAAUUAACUUCUACUGAAGCUGU